GUUUUUGUAGUAUAACUCCUAUUUCUAUUUUUUUUAUUUAUUUUCAAGUUAGAGAUGGGCCCAAUGCAUUUAUUUGUGAGUAUAAGAAAAAGGAUACCAUAAAAAAAGGGAUUUUUUUAUUUGGUAAUGUUCAAGAAAAGAAAAAAGGAUUUUCAGUAAAGAAAUCAUUUAUCUGUCGUACAUAGAGGUCACAAUCAUUUCCACUCAUUCCAUGUCAAAUUGGUAUUAUUAUUGGUGGAUGAUAACCAUGUGCAAGAAGUCAUCAUACAUGGUAGAUAGGCCUUUUUUUGGGUGAAUUACAAUUAGGUUUUUAAAGGCUGCUUAUGUGAUCUCACUAUUUGGCUGCUUAUGUGAUCUCACCAUUCUGUUUCUUCAGUGUUCUUGUAAAAGGAUGAUACUAUGUUUUCC
rnacentral:lncRNA from 1 species